rnacentral:sRNA from 1 species
GCUGGGCAUGGUGGUGCAUACCUGUAACCCCAGCUACUUGGGGGACUGAGGCAGGAGCAACUUAGCGAGAUCCUGUCUCCA